UACGAAGGGGGCUAGCGUUGCUCGGAAUUACUGGGCGUAAAGGGCGCGUAGGCGGCCUUCUAAGUCAGACGUGAAAUCCCCCGGCUUAACCUGGGAACUGCGUCUGAUACUGGAAGGCUUGAGUUUGGGAGAGGGAUGCAGAAUUCCAGGUGUAGCGGUGAAAUGCGUAGAUAUCUGGAGGAAUACCGGUGGCGAAGGCGGCAUCCUGGACCAACACUGACGCUGAGGCGCGAAAGCUAGGGGAGCAAACGGG
rnacentral:rRNA from 1 species